rnacentral:lncRNA from 1 species
UCAAAUGCAAUCUUGACUGAUCUUACUGAAUGAAAUCUUACUUACCUAUCUGCCUCUAGGCACGAAUGUCUCAAAAUCAUCCUAGACAGGAGUGUUAUUAAUUUGUAAGUAACGC